AAAGUUCCUUUCCAAAUACAUUAGGCUGUUAGCUUGACUGGUGAAGAGCAGCCUGGAUAUAAUGGAAGAAGAGAGCAGGUACAGUUCUGCUCCAAAUGUCAUAGGAGCAGGCUCUUGCCCAAAUGUUGUUAGUGAGAUUCAGGGGAUACAAGAUUCAAAUACCCCAGGUCUAGCAAAGUUUCUAGGUGCUCUUUUGGUUGGCUAGCUCAGGGAAGCAUGAGUAAGGGAAGACUUCUUGGAAGUUGACAUGUUAUUUUCCUUCAUUCCUUCUCCAGGAGGAUGGGAUGAUGCAAACUUGUUGGAGCUGGAGGACAAGGGUUGUGAAAAGUCAAGAAUGAUGCUAACAGCAUGUUAGGAGCUGUCCAGUGCUGAACAAAUACAGGGAAGGAGCUGAUGAGGCUGAUGAUGAGGAUGGACACGACAGCAGCAAUGAUGAUAAUAGUGCUUUGCACAUGAAGUUGCUUGAUUUUUGAUGGACUGAUUAGACACAGUUUCUCUAACUGGAGCUGAUUUUCACCUUCCUUCUAGAGUUUACCCAGAUAACCUUGGUGUACUUUCCUGGUGAGAUCCUUUGGCGUGAGCACCAUGGCAAGAACCGUCACAAAAUUAGGAGUUCCAAGGUGCCAGAACUCUUGCUGCCCCAUUGUUGGACCUCUUGCUUCCCUCUUCUGAAGCCAAAGCUUGAGUGAGAGGCAGGAGACAAGAUGAGGCAUUGGAAGCUCAGAAAAGGUGAAUAACUCACUUGAGGUCACAGGGAGCAGUGAGAACAGACCCAAGUCACGUCAUGCCUGAGUUGGUCUGAACCAGGAUCUGGGAGAUGGGAAAAGCACCAACAUUCACUCGGAGACAAUUCUGCUGAGGGACUGCAACCUUGUUUCUGGAGUCGGACUGACGCUGCAAUUUUCUUGCUGAGUGUCUUUGGUAAAGUUACUUAUGUGUCUGUUUCCUUAUCUAUGAAAUGGGGGGAAAUAAUACUACUUAACUCAGAGGG